AGGUCAAGCAAGAAAGAGCGCAGGGUGGAUGCCUUGGCACUAAGAGCCGAAGAAAGACGUGAUAAGCUGCGAAAAGCUGCGGGGAGGAGCAAAUAUCCAUUGAGCCGCAGAUAUCUGAAUGGGGAAACCCGGCUGGACGAACUCCAGUCAUCCAUACGCCAAUCCAUAACGUAUGGAAGGGAA
rnacentral:rRNA from 1 species